AUUAACUCUGAUGUACGGAAAACCUGGGAAACACAGCAGGAAGUGGCUGAGGAAAUCACUGCAGAGGAGAAAACUUCACCUCCCAUGAAAGCAGAGUGGAAUUAAUUCUUUCCAGGACAGGUGACCAAAAACCUGGACAAUCCAGGGAAAUCCCAGACAGUUGAACCCACAGCAACGCUUGAUACUGUCCUACACACUGACACUGCCCUACCAAGGAUUUUACUCCCGAGCUCCAGCUGCAGUUAUUGAUGACCACUGCUCCUGUUGCCUAGUAUCUGGGGGUGGGUCACUGGAUCACCAGCUUCUCUGACGCCCUGAGGAAGAUGAAAUCCUCCUUUAGAAUUGGGAAUGGACGUCACCUGAGGUUCUGAAAUGUAUCAUGAUGCCAGUGGAGAUGUUGCUACCUGGUGUCCCAGAAACAGCACCAUCAUUGUGGGAGGAUGCUGUUCUGCCUCUGCCAAUGCUGUACCUCCGUACUACACUGUGGUCACAAUGAGUUCACUGAAGAACCAUUUUUGGUUCCCCAAAGAGCUCACACAUCUCACUUAUAGACAUGGUUCUCCAAAGAAACAUUCACAAUUGGUUCUUCUAUGGCGUUCCUCCAAAGAACCCUUUACGGCACCUUCAUUAUAAGAGAGAGGUUCUGGUGUGAAUGUGGCAGGUUUAUCAUCUGUGACUCUGACUUAAUUGUAACUUGGCUUCACUCAAGGUUUCUUCUUCAUAUCAUAUUAGGAAGGUUUUCCUUUUCACUCUAGUCCUUGGGUUCUGUUGGGUCAUGACCUGUAAAGCUGCUACAUGAAACUGUCUAUUGGAAAAAGCACAAUAUAAAUAAAACUGAUUUCUUUGCCGAUGUCUUUUUAAAGCCUAAUCUGGUUGAGCUCUUAUUAUUCCUCUCACAGCUCUUUCAUGGCAGUUUCUGGGGU